GCCUGGGUAGCUCAGUGGUAGAGCUCCUGACUAGAGUUGCAGGGUCCUGGGUUCGAUUCCCAGUCCAGCCA
rfam:Crassostrea gigas strain 05x7-T-G4-1.051#20 contig2556, whole genome shotgun sequence.